rnacentral:lncRNA from 1 species
ACCUAAGCAAUGAAAAGAUUACAUCCUGAAUUCUUAAAUAGUCUCAGACACUCUCUUGCUCUUACCACCAGCUUGUUGAAUCUACCUAGUCGAUCGUGUUUAGCGAGCACCACUCAUCUUCAAUUGUAUUUGCUACUUCCUUGAGAUUCCCUCAACACAACAAAUGACCUCUUCAUUCUGAAAAAACCAAAUAAUAAUAAAGAAUGUCUAAUAAAAUGCUUGAUAUGAAGAAGAUUAAAACAUUAUAGAGAUAUGAAACCUCAUAUGCGAUGAAAUAGUUUUUCUUCUCAUUCUUUGCAUUGGCUAUUUC